UACGUAGGGGGCGAGCGUUACCCGGAUUUACUGGGCGUAAAGGGUGUGCAGGCGGGGUUGCAAGUGGUGUCUGAAAUAUCCCAGCUUAACUGGGAGGGGUUAUGCCAGACUGCAACUCUAGAGGACGAGAGAGGGGGGUGGAAUUCCGGGUGUAGUGGUGAAAUGCGUAGAGAUCCGGAGGAACCCCAGAGGCGAAGGCGGCCCCCUGGCUCGUACCUGACGCUCAGCCACGAAAGCAUGGGGAGCGAACGGG
rnacentral:rRNA from 1 species